UACGUAGGGGGCAAGCGUUGUCCGGAUUUAUUGGGCGUAAAGAGCGUGUAGGCGGUCAGGUAGGUCCGUUGUGAAAACUCGAGGCUCAACCUCGAGACGCCGAUGGAAACCAUCUGACUAGAGUCCGGAAGAGGAGAGUGGAAUUCCUGGUGUAGCGGUGAAAUGCGCAGAGAUCGGGAGGAACACCCGUAGCGAAGGCGGCGCUCUGGGCCGAUACUGACGCUGAGGAGCGAAAGCGUGGGGAGCGAACAGG
rnacentral:rRNA from 1 species